UACGGGGGGAGCAAGCGUUGUUCGGAUUUACUGGGCGUAAAGGGCGCGUAGGCGGCCAGCACAAGUCAGUUGUGAAAUCUCCGGGCUUAACCCGGAAAGGUCAGCCGAUACUGCGGGGCUAGAGUGCAGAAGGGGCAACUGGAAUUCUCGGUGUAGCGGUGAAAUGCGUAGAGAUCAGGAGGAACACCCGUGGCGAAGGCGGCUCCCUGGUCCGUUUCUGACGCUGAGACGCGAAAGCGCGGGGAGCGAACGGG
rnacentral:rRNA from 1 species